rnacentral:misc_RNA from 1 species
AAGGAGCUGGAGUUCUAUAUGAAGAAGAUCCAGAGGAAGAAGGGCAAGGGUGCUGGCGCGGCAUAAAUAUAAAGUUUGUGAAGUUUUGCCGUCCACUGUUUGGGUUAUUUUAGUUUUGGUUCCAUGAGUUUUAGAAUGUGAUUUGAUACCAAGUCGUAGCCUGCCCAAAUGAUGCACAUUCUGGUUGAGGGUCGUUAGUGUCAUCUUGUCACUUUUUCUUUUACUUCCUAUAAUUU